GAAAGCCUCCUUCGGGGGGCAAGUAGAGUGGCGCACGGGUGAGUAACACGUAGGUAAUCUACCUUUGGAUUGGGAAUAACCAUCGGAAACGGUGGCUAAUACCGAAUAAUGCAGCGGCACCUAAUGGUGACAGUUGUUAAAGCGGGGGAUCGCAAGACCUCGCGUCUAAAGAGGAGCCUGCGGCAGAUUAGCUAGUUGGUAAGGUAACGGCUUACCAAGGCGAUGAUCUGUAGCCAGCCUGAGAGGGCGGUCGGCCACACUGACACUGACAUACGGGUCAGACUCCUACGGGAGGCAGCAGUCGGGAAUUUUGGGCAAUGGGCGAAAGCCUGACCCAGCAACGCCGCGUGAAGGAUGAAAUCCUUCGGGAUGUAAACUUCGCAAGAACGGGAAGAAUAAGUAAGAGUUAAUAUCUCUUACGAUGACGGUACUGUUUGUAAGCUCCGGCUAACUCCGUGCCAGCAGCCGCGGUAAUACGGGGGGAGCAAGCGUUGUUCGGAUUUACUGGGCGUAAAGGGCGCGUAGGCGGCCACCGCAAGUCGACUGUGAAAUCUCCGGGCUUAACCCGGAAAGGUCAGCCGAUACUGCGGGGCUAGAGUGCAGAAGGGGCAACUGGAAUUCUCGGUGUAGCGGUGAAAUGCGUAGAUAUCGGGAGGAACACCUGCGGCGAANGCGGGUUGCUGGGCUGACACUGACGCUGAGGCGCGAAAGCUAGGGGAGCGAACGGGAUUAGAUACCCCGGUAGUCCUAGCCUUAAACGAUGAAUGCUUGGUGUCUGGGGUUUUAUAGUCCCCGGGUGCCGUCGCUAACGCUUUAAGCAUUCCGCCUGGGGA
rnacentral:rRNA from 1 species